rnacentral:lncRNA from 1 species
CUCGUGGGAGUCUAACAUCUCCAGACUGGCCUUCGGGGUCCUGAUGCAGCUUGCUUGUCCCUUUCAGAGCUGUCACACCAUGGGUAGGAACUGCAAAGCUCCUUCUCACACAGACUGAAGAUCAGAGACAUCCUUCCCCACCCCGGACACAGGAUGAAAGAACUUCAUUGGACUUACGGGUUCCAGAGGCAGAGUCCACCAGGGCCCGAGAAGCACAGCAGCAGGCAGCAAAAGCAAGAAGCUGGAAGGUCACAUUCGUAACUGAAAAUCUGAAGCAGAGAGAACAAUCUGGAAAUGGAGUGAGGCUCUGAACUCCCAACGCCCGUCCCCAGUGACACACUUCCUCUGGCAAGGAUACACCUGUCAAAGGUUUUACAGCUCCACUACCUGGGACAUGUGUCCAAAUAUAGGAGCCUAGGGGGCACAUCCCUCCUUUCAACCAACACAGACCACAUAGCAGGACAAAGAGAAGACAGCUGUGACUUACCUGAGCCCAUGUCGCCUCUUACGUCCAGAGAGGUGACUGGUAAUUCCAUGUUCCAUUUCCUCCCUCCUGUUUUCCUUCAAUUACUAGAUAUCCACCACUAGGCCUCCCCCAUGUAACCCACGGGUUUUGCUGAGACUCAUGUAUCCUUUGUUUCCAUAUCUUGCCUUGAUGAAGAAAAAUAACUUGAGGCAGCAUAAAUGCUAUAAGUAAUAUUACAGAGUAGAGUGGGAAACGGAUCCCAUGCAGUUUGGAGAAGAGAAGGAAGAGGACCUUUGGAGCUCUGGAGCAAGGAUGGCCGUGUGUCUGUGUGUGUGUGUGUGUGUGUGUGUGUGUGUGUGUGUGU